rnacentral:rRNA from 1 species
CGUAGGGACCAAGCGUUGUUCGGAUUUACUGGGCGUAAAGGGCGCAUAGGCGGCUUGUCAAGUCACUUGUGAAAUCUCUGGGCUUAACCCAGAACGGCCAAGUGAAACUGACAUGCUAGAGUGCAGAAGGGGCAAUCGGAAUUCUUGGUGUAGCGGUGAAAUGCGUAGAUAUCAAGAGGAACACCUGAGGUGAAGACGGGUUGCUGGGCUGACACUGACGCUGAGGCGCGAAAGCCAGGGGAGCAAACGGGGAUUAGAUACCCCGGUAGUCCUGGCCCUAAACGAUGAAUACUUGGUGUCUGGAGUUAUUAGUGCUCCGGGUGCCGUCGCUAACGUUUUUAGUAUUCCGCCUGGGGAGUACGCUCGCAAGAGUG